rnacentral:rRNA from 1 species
CUAUACAUGCAGUCGAGCGAGCCGAACUAAUUGAUUACCUUCGGGUAUGAAGUUAGGGAAGCGAGCGGCGGAUGGGUGAGUAACACGUGGGUAACCUACCCUAUAGUCUGGGAUACCACUUGGAAACAGGUGCUAAUACCGGAUAAAAGGAGAGAUCACAUGAUUUCUUUUUGAAAGGCGGCGUAAGCUGUCGCUAAAGGAUGGACCCGCGGUGCAUUAGCUAGUUGGUAAGGUAACGGCUUACCAAGGCAACGAUGCAUAGCCGAGUUGAGAGACUGAUCGGCCACAUUGGGACUGAGACACGGCCCAAACUCCUACGGGAGGCAGCAGUAGGGAAUCUUCCACAAUGGACGCAAGUCUGAUGGAGCAGCGCCGCGUGAGUGAAGAAGGUUUUCGGAUCGUAAAGCUCUGUUGUUGGUGAAGAAGGAUAGUGAGAGUAACUGCUCAUUAUUUGCCGGUAAUCAACCAGAAAGUCACGGCUAACUACGUGCCAGCAGCCGCGGUAAUACGUAGGUGGCAAGCGUUGUCCGGAUUUAUUGGGCGUAAAGCGAGCGCAGGCGGAAAGAUAAGUCAGAUGUGAAAGCCCUCGGCUUAACCGAGGAAUAGCAUCGGAAACUGUCUUUCUUGAGUGCAGAAGAGGAGAGUGGAACUCCAUGUGUAGCGGUGGAAUGCGUAGAUAUAUGGAAGAACACCAGUGGCGAAGGCGGCUCUCUGGUCUGUAACUGACGCUGAGGC